CGGCGGACGGGUGAGUAACGCGUGGGUAACCUGCCUCAUACAGGGGGAUAACAGUUAGAAAUGGCUGCUAAUACCGCAUAAGACCACGGUACUGCAUGGUACAGUGGUAAAAACUCCGGUGGUAUGAGAUGGCCCCGCGUCUGAUUAGGUAGUUGGUGAGGUAACGGCCCACCAAGCCGACGAUCAGUAGCCGACCUGAGAGGGUGACCGGCCACAUUGGGACUGAGACACAGCCCAG
rnacentral:rRNA from 1 species